rnacentral:rRNA from 1 species
UACGUAGGUUGCAAGCGUUGUCCGGAUUUAUUGGGUUUAAAGGGUGCGUAGGCGGCUUUGUAAGUCAGUGGUGAAAUAUGGCAGCUUAACUGUCAGGGUGCCAUUGAUACUGCGGAGCUUGAGUACAGAUGAGGUAGGCGGAAUUGACGGUGUAGCGGUGAAAUGCUUAGAUAUCGUCAAGAACACCUAUAGCGAAGGCAGCUUACUAGGCUGUAACUGACGCUGAGGCACGAAAGUGUGGGGAUCAAACAGG